CAGUUGUUAGCUGCACUCCACA
rnacentral:miRNA from 1 species